UACGUAGGUGGCGAGCGUUGUCCGGAUUUACUGGGCGUAAAGGGAGCGUAGGCGGACUUUUAAGUGAGAUGUGAAAUACUCGGGCUCAACUUGAGUGCUGCAUUUCAAACUGGAAGUCUAGAGUGCAGGAGAGGAGAAUGGAAUUCCUAGUGUAGCGGUGAAAUGCGUAGAGAUAGGAAGAACACCAGUGGCGAAGGCGAUUCUCUGGACUGUGACUGACGCUGAGGCUCGAAAGCGUGGGGAGCAAACAGG
rnacentral:rRNA from 1 species